rnacentral:lncRNA from 1 species
GGCCUACACCACAGCCACAGCAAUGUGGGAUCCGAGCCACGUCUGUGACAUACACCACAGCUCGUGGCAACGAGGGAUCCUUAACCCACUAAGCAAGGCCAGGGAUUGAACCCGCAACCUCAUGGUUCCUAGUCGGAUUCGUUAACCACUGUGCCACGAUGGGAACUCCCAGAAAUGUGUUAAUUUUUUAAAAUUGAUUUAUUAUUUUUUUUAAUGGUCACACCUGCAGCAUAUGCAAGGUCCCCGGUCAAGGCCUGAAUCUGAGGCGCAGCUGUAACACCAGAUCUUUUAACCUACUGCGCCAGGCUGGGGACUGAACCCGACCUGAGCCUCUAGUCAAAUUCUUAGCCCACUGCACCACCACAGCAGGAACUCCCAAGAAAAGUAUUAAUUUUAACGAAGCAUUUUCCAAAUUUACUUGAUCACAGAAUCUCCUUUUUUCCAACUGUCAUGUGUCAGGAAUAAACGAUGCUUUACCUGAUAUUUGGAAAUUCCCUAACUCAGAAAUCCUCCCCCAUUGGACGGAUUACAGCAAUAUCUCAAAAUAAUUAUCCUUUCAUCUCUCAAUGCUGGAUUGAGGUUGGGGAGUUGAAAGCAUCUAUUCCAGGGCUUCCUAAAAGGAGGGACAAAGCAGUAUGGGACUUGGUGGCAUGCCCCGUGGUCUACACAGGUGGCCAGCAUAACAAACGGUAUCAGGUACCCACUGCUCUAUAUUUCCAUGAGGGUGAUCCACCUCCGGGGCUCCUAUUUCAGAAGACAGAACUCAAACGCACCACUGCUCACCAUGGACAAGAAACCAACCCAUGGAGCUACCAGAGUAGUUUGUCCCACAUGCCCAAGGAACAUGGUAUGCAACAGUGUGUGACCAGUUGGGAUUGAAGGGGCCCGUGACUCUAAGAAAGAGCCCCCAAUCCUUAUCUGCAUAUAUACUGACUUGGCCAAUUCUAUCCCUUUGCAGCUGAUGUGCCCUUUUAGUAGCAGCCAAGUUGCUACAAGGCUCUAACACAUACAUGUUAUAUAAAUUAAAUCUUCACCAUUAUUUCAAAAAAAAUUUUUUGGCCUUUUUAGGGCUGCACUCACGGCAUAUAGAGGUUCCCAAGCUAGGGGUCCAACCGGAGCUAUAGCUGCAGCUGCUGGCCUAUACCACAGUCAUAGCAAUGCCAGGUCCAAGCUGUGUCUGCGACCUACACCACAGUUCAUGGCAACGCCAGAUCCUUAACCCACUAAGUGAGGCCAGGGAUAGAACCCGAAUCUCCAUGGAUACUAGUCGGGUUCGUUAAUGGCUGAGCCACGAUGGGAACUCCUUCACCAUUAUUUUUAAGUAACUAAUACAAGAAAAUUCAGCUGGCUUAAAAAACCAUUUGCAUUAUAUCACAAAAUUUUCUAAAUUAUAUCUGUCAAUUAAAGGAUGAGUUUUUGACAGAAAGAGACUCAUAACCGCUAGAGAACAAACCAGUGGUUACCACUGGGGAGAGGGGAGGCAGGAAGGGUAAGACAGGGGUAUGGGAUUAAGAGACACAAACUACUAGGUACAAAAUAAACAAGCAACAGAGUUUUAUUAGACAGCACAGGGAAAUGUGCCAUUAUUUUGUAAUAACUUUAUGGUUGUAUUUUUUUUUUUUUAGGGCCGAAGGUGCAGCAUAUGGAAGUUCCCAGGCUAGAGAUCAAAUCAGAGCUGUAGCCGCUGGCCUUCACCACAGCCACAGUAACACCAGAUCAGAGCUGAAUCUUCGACCUACACAACUCACAGCAACACUGGAUCCUUUAACCCACUGAGCAAGGCCAGGAUCGAACCCGCAUCCUCAUGGAUACCAGUCGGGUUCAUUACCGCUGAGGCACAAUGGGAACUCUUGGGAUAACUUUAAAUGGAGUAUACCCUGUAAACACUGAAUCACUCUGCUGUAUACCUGAAACUAAUAUAAUACUGUAAAUCCACUACAGUUGAGUAAAAAGGGAUGAGUUUUUGAAAUUAUAAUUUCAACUGUUUUAAAUUUUUUAGUGGUUGAGAAAACCACUUUUAUGUUUUUACACAAAGUUUCUCAUUAGUAAUAAACUAUCAAAAAUUGAGGAGCUCAAGAGUUCCUGUCGUGGCGCAGUGGUUACCGAAUCCGACUAGGAACCAUGAGUCACUAUGGGAACUCCAAAAAUGUCAUUUCUUAACACUUUCUCAUACAGAUUCUCCACGUUGGAAAUUCCCCUUUUUUUUGCUUUUUUUCUUUUUGCUUUUUAGGGCCUCACCCGAGGCAUAUCGAGGUUCCCAGGCUAGUGGUGGAAUCAGAGCUACAGCUGUCGGCCUACACCGCAGCCACAGCAACAACCAGAUUUGAGGCGCAUCUGUGACCUACACCACAGCUCAUGGCAACACUGGAUCCUUAAUCCACUGAGCCAGGCCAGGGAUUGAUUCCACAUCCUCAUGGAUGCUAGUCAGGUUCAUUAACCGCUGAGCCACGAUCGGAACUUCAGAAGCCUGUAUUCUGAAAACUACAAGAUGCCAAUGAAAGAAAUCAAAGAUGAUACAAACAGAUGGAAAGAUAUACCAUGUUCUUGGAUUGGUAGGAUCAAUACUGUCAAAAUGAGUAUACUACCAAAGGCAAUUUACAGAUUCGAUGAAAUCUCUAUCAAAUUACCA